AUUGAACGCUGGCGGCAUGCUUUACACAUGCAAGUCGAACGGUAACAGGCCUUCGGGUGCUGACGAGUGGCGAACGGGUGAGUAAUGCAUCGGAACGUGCCCAAUCGUGGGGGAUAACGUAGCGAAAGUUACGCUAAUACCGCAUAAGCCCUGAGGGGGAAAGCGGGGGACCGCAAGGCCUCACGCGAAUGGAGCGGCCGAUGUCAGAUUAGCUAGUUGGUGGGGUAAAGGCCCACCAAGGCGACGAUCUGUAGCGGGUCUGAGAGGAUGAUCCGCCACACUGGGACUGAGACACGGCCCAGACUCCUACGGGAGGCAGCAGUGGGGAAUUUUGGACAAUGGGCGCAAGCCUGAUCCAGCCAUGCCGCGUGCGGGACGAAGGCCUCGG
rnacentral:rRNA from 1 species